rnacentral:lncRNA from 1 species
AACAAUACAAAUGGCCCCCCAUAUCGAAGGGAAAUAAGGUGUCGAAAUGAUCUCCCAAAUGAUUUCAAACACGGCCUGCCUAUCAGAACGUUGUAUAAAGUGUCGAAACCAAGAGGUAUCUCACUCUUAGCUCUUUCACAUCCUGACCGAUACCUAGGAGCGUCCUCAGGUCUACAUACCCCCUUGUAUCUAUGCGGACCCCUACAAACCUGACAAUAUACUCGUUAUAAGGAACGAUCAGAUCUUCUAAUAGGUCCAUCUUCUGAAAGGUUUUAUGGU